GGGCGGGUAGCUCAGCCUGUUAGAGCGCCAGCCUUGCAAGCUGGAGGCCGAGGGUUCAAAUCCCUCCCCGUCCA
rnacentral:tRNA from 1 species